AAGAUGCUCUGCAGAUCUCUGAUGUGGU
rnacentral:piRNA from 1 species